rnacentral:rRNA from 1 species
UGUGUUAGUGGAAGCGUCUGGAAAGGCGCGCGAUACAGGGUGACAGCCCCGUACACAAAAAUGCACAUAUUGUGAGCUCGAUGAGUAGGGCGGGACACGUGGUAUCCUGUCUGAAUAUGGGGGGACCAUCCUCCAAGGCUAAAUACUCCUGACUGACCGAUAGUGAACCAGUACCGUGAGGGAAAGGCGAAAAGAACCCCGGCGAGGGGAGUGAAAAAGAACCUGAAACCGUGUACGUACAAGCAGUGGGAGCCUCUUAAUGGGGUGACUGCGUACCUUUUGUAUAAUGGGUCAGCGACUUAUAUUCUGUAGCAAGGUUAACCGAAUAGGGGAGCCGAAGGGAAACCGAGUCUUAACUGGGCGUUAAGUUGCAGGGUAUAGACCCGAAACCCGGUGAUCUAGCCAUGGGCAGGUUGAAGGUUGGGUAACACUAACUGGAGGACCGAACCGACUAAUGUUGAAAAAUUAGCGGAUGACUUGUGGCUGGGGGUGAAAGGCCAAUCAAACCGGGAGAUAGCUGGUUCUCCCCGAAAGCUAUUUAGGUAGCGCCUCGUGAAUUCAUCUCCGGGGGUAGAGCACUGUUUCGGCAAGGGGGUCAUCCCGACUUACCAACCCGAUGCAAACUGCGAAUACCGGAGAAUGUUAUCACGGGAGACACACGGCGGGUGCUAACGUCCGUCGUGAAGAGGGAAACAACCCAGACCGCCAGCUAAGGUCCCAAAGUCAUGGUUAAGUGGGAAACGAUGUGGGAAGGCCCAGACAGCCAGGAUGUUGGCUUAGAAGCAGCCAUCAUUUAAAGAAAGCGUAAUAGCUCACUGGUCGAGUCGGCCUGCGCGGAAGAUGUAACGGGGCUAAACCAUGCACCGAAGCUGCGGCAGCGACACUAUGUGUUGUUGGGUAGGGGAGCGUUCUGUAAGCCUGUGAAGGUGGCCUGUGAGGGUUGCUGGAGGUAUCAGAAGUGCGAAUGCUGACAUAAGUAACGAUAAAGCGGGUGAAAAGCCCGCUCGCCGGAAGACCAAGGGUUCCUGUCCAACGUUAAUCGGGGCAGGGUGAGUCGACCCCUAAGGCGAGGCCGAAAGGCGUAGUCGAUGGGAAACAGGUUAAUAUUCCUGUACUUGGUGUUACUGCGAAGGGGGGACGGAGAAGGCUAUGUUGGCCGGGCGACGGUUGUCCCGGUUUAAGCGUGUAGGCUGGUUUUCCAGGCAAAUCCGGAAAAUCAAGGCUGAGGCGUGAUGACGAGGCACUACGGUGCUGAAGCGACAAAUGCCCUGCUUCCAGGAAAAGCCUCUAAGCAUCAGGUAACAUCAAAUCGUACCCCAAACCGACACAGGUGGUCAGGUAGAGAAUACCAAGGCGCUUGAGAGAACUCGGGUGAAGGAACUAGGCAAAAUGGUGCCGUAACUUCGGGAGAAGGCACGCUGAUAUGUAGGUGAAGCGACUUGCUCGUGGAGCUGAAAUCAGUCGAAGAUACCAGCUGGCUGCAACUGUUUAUUAAAAACACAGCACUGUGCAAACACGAAAGUGGACGUAUACGGUGUGACGCCUGCCCGGUGCCGGAAGGUUAAUUGAUGGGGUUAGCGGUAACGCGAAGCUCUUGAUCGAAGCCCCGGUAAACGGCGGCCGUAACUAUAACGGUCCUAAGGUAGCGAAAUUCCUUGUCGGGUAAGUUCCGACCUGCACGAAUGGCGUAAUGAUGGCCAGGCUGUCUCCACCCGAGACUCAGUGAAAUUGAACUCGCUGUGAAGAUGCAGUGUACCCGCGGCAAGACGGAAAGACCCCGUGAACCUUUACUAUAGCUUGACACUGAACAUUGAGCCUUGAUGUGUAGGAUAGGUGGGAGGCUUUGAAGUGUGGACGCCAGUCUGCAUGGAGCCGACCUUGAAAUACCACCCUUUAAUGUUUGAUGUUCUAACGUGGGCCCCUUACCGGGGUUGCGGACAGUGUCUGGUGGGUAGUUUGACUGGGGCGGUCUCCUCCUAAAGAGUAACGGAGGAGCACGAAGGUUGGCUAAUCCUGGUCGGACAUCAGGAGGUUAGUGCAAUGGCAUAAGCCAGCUUGACUGCGAGCGUGACGGCGCGAGCAGGUGCGAAAGCAGGUCAUAGUGAUCCGGUGGUUCUGAAUGGAAGGGCCAUCGCUCAACGGAUAAAAGGUACUCCGGGGAUAACAGGCUGAUACCGCCCAAGAGUUCAUAUCGACGGCGGUGUUUGGCACCUCGAUGUCGGCUCAUCACAUCCUGGGGCUGAAGUAGGUCCCAAGGGUAUGGCUGUUCGCCAUUUAAAGUGGUACGCGAGCUGGGUUUAGAACGUCGUGAGACAGUUCGGUCCCUAUCUGCCGUGGGCGCUGGAGAACUGAGGGGGGCUGCUCCUAGUACGAGAGGACCGGAGUGGACGCAUCACUGGUGUUCGGGUUGUCAUGCCAAUGGCACUGCCCGGUAGCUAAAUGCGGAAGAGAUAAGUGCUGAAAGCAUCUAAGCACGAAACUUGCCCCGAGAUGAGUUCUCCCUGACUCCUUGAGAGUCCUGAAGGAACGUUGAAGACGACGACGUUGAUAGGCCGGGUGUGUAAGCGCAGCGAUGCGUUGAGCUAACCGGUACUAAUGAACCGUGAGGCUUAACCUU